GACGAACGCUGGCGGCGUGCCUAAUACAUGCAAGUCGAACGCACUCUCGUUUAGAUUAAAGGAGCUUGCUCCUGAUUGAUAAACAUUUGAGUGAGUGGCGGACGGGUGAGUAACACGUGGGUAACCUGCCCUAAAGUGGGGGAUAACAUUUGGAAACAGAUGCUAAUACCGCAUAAAACCUAACACCGCAUGGUGUAGGGUUGAAAGAUGGUUUCGGCUAUCACUUUAGGAUGGACCCGCGGUGCAUUAGUUAGUUGGUGAGGUAAAGGCUCACCAAGACCGUGAUGCAUAGCCGACCUGAGAGGGUAAUCGGCCACACUGGGACUGAGACACGGCCCAGACUCCUACGGGAGGCAGCAGUAGGGAAUCUUCCACAAUGGACGAAGUCUGAUGGAGCAACGCCGCGUGAGUGAAGAAGGUUUUCGGAUCGUAAAACUCUGUUGUUGGAGAAGAAUGUAUCUGAUAGUAACUGAUCAGGUAGUGACGGUAUCCAACCAGAAAGCCAC
rnacentral:rRNA from 1 species